UCCCUUCGGGGACCAAGUGACAGGUGUCGCAUGGUUGUCGUCAGCUCGUGUCGUGAGAUGUUGGGUUAAGUCCCGCAACGAGCGCNACCCCUAAUCUUAGUUGCCAGCAUUCAGUUGGGCACUCUAAGGUGACUGCCGGUGACAAACCGGAGGAAGGCGGGGAUGACGUCAAAUCAUCAUGCCCCUUAUGACCUGGGCUACACACGUGCUACAAUGGAUGGUACAAAGGGCAGCGAAGCCGCGAGGUGUAGCAAAUCCCAUAAAACCAUUCUCAGUUCGGAUUGCAGGCUGCAACUCGCCUGCAUGAAGCCGGAAUCGCUAGUAAUCGCGGAUCAGCAUGCCGCGGUGAAUACGUUCCCGGGCCUUGUACACACCGCCCGUCACACCACGAGAGUUGGCAACACCCGAAGUCGGUGAGGUAACCUUUUUGGAGCCAGCCGCCGAAGGUGGGGCCAAUGAUUGGGGUGAA
rnacentral:rRNA from 1 species